GGAUUAUAACGCUGUAGGUACGAACAUCAAUGUACUUCAACCGUUUACGUACUCUUAAUUCGAACAUUAGAACUUGCAAUUGUUUUUAUUUUUAAAUUAAACUGUAUGAGACUACAUAAACUAAAA